GACGAACGCUGGCGGCGUGCCUAACACAUGCAAGUCGAACGGAGUUAAGAGAGCUUGCUCUCUUAACUUAGUGGCGGACGGGUGAGUAACGCGUGAGUAACCUGCCUUUCAGAGGGGGAUAACGUUCUGAAAGAACGCUAAUACCGCAUGACGUCAUAGGACCGCAUGGUCUAGUGAUCAAAGGAGCAAUCCGCUGAAAGAUGGACUCGCGUCCGAUUAGCUAGUUGGUGAGAUAAAGGCCCACCAAGGCGACGAUCGGUAGCCGGACUGAGAGGUUGAACGGCCACAUUGGGACUGAGACACGGGCCCAGACUCCUACGGGAGGCAGCAGUGGGGGAUAUUGCACAAUGGGGGAAACCCUGAUG
rnacentral:rRNA from 1 species